GGGGGCUUCUUGGCCUCCUCCCAGGGUCCUGGGAAAUGCCUGGGCACCUAGAGUGGCGGGAGCAGGGCUCCUAGGCAUUCCCGAGGUGGUGGGUAGAUGGCUGGGGUGGGCGCCAGAGCCAACCCCCUCCCCCCCCAGCCUCCCACGGUGCCAGUGCCUAUGGGAGUAAUUAGCGCUAAUGACAGGACUGGGGGAUCUGUUAUCAUAUAUACACUCACCUCUCACUGGGGCACAACCGAGGCAGGCCAGGAGGGGGUCGGCAGAUGAAGGGAGAGGCCCGAGGUGGGGAGGGCAGAGCAGGGCAGGGAGGGGUGGUGGUCCAGCCCCCUACAGACCCCAAGGGGACCCCGGUCUGCCUCGAAAUGCUCCCCAGCCAUGUGGGGUCAUGUGGGUGGGUGUGGGCUGGACAGCGUCCCCCUGGCAGCGUCCCCCUGUCGGGGUGUCAUGGGGUCGGUGCUGCCAGGCCCUCUCUGGUGUGGUGUCCUCGGGGCAGCCCUCCCUCUCCCCCGCCCGGGCAGCCCCCACGCCGGGAGUGCCUGAGACUGCCAGGUGCUGCCCCUGGCACCGUGGGGCUCCUCCUGGAUCCCAGAAUCCACGGGGGCAUCUCUCGGGGGCAGGAGCCCCCAGGCACUUCCCUCUCAACCGCCACUCUCUCCUCCCUCACCAGAGAGCUUCCUUCUCUCCUCCCACGCCUCAGGAAAGGGGAAACAGGGCUUCCCCAGUGGCCUCGGGGCCCACAGACUGGGCCAGAAUUUCCUUCCCGUCAGUGCCGUUCUGACACAAGUUUCAGCUUUUUAUUUAGAAACUCAAAACCUGAGCCUUCCCUUCUGUGGGCACAGCCACAUCCCGAAGGCAGUGAGCCUGAGCGCUCCGGGCUGGAGAAAGCUGGGAGUGGGAGCUGACCAUGAAGUGGGUGUAAGCACAGCCAGGGGGAACACGUGCACCCUGCAGAGCCCCACAUGCGUCGAGCUUCCCCUGUGGGGGUGAGGAUUCUCUAAUGAGGAAGGGGAAGGGGCUGAGGGAUCUGACACACCCGGGAGGGAGGGGGCUCACCCUCCUUCGUGCCUAGCUUACCCUCUGCCAAGCUGGGAGUUGAGUGUGUGCGCCUAGGAUGAAGUUGAGGCUGGAGGUGGGGGUGGAUGGGGGUGGUUGGGGUCCCUGGGGGCUUCUUAGUAACCUCCAAGCAUCCUUGAGCAGAAGUAGGCCGGUCCAUCGGCCAAACUGGGGCAGGUGCUGGGAAUCCGGGCCGAGGGCCUGCUGGUCCCCAGGGCUGGGCCUCACGUGCUGGCGCCUCUCCACGGCCAGCCUCUGCUGCGGGAGUCCAUUGCAGGGCCACCGGGCCACCCACCGGUCAGUCUCUGCCCCUCACGAGCACGCAACUCUUUGCUGACUCCUGGUUCCAUCAUGAGGAAACUGAGGCCCAAAGAGGCAGAGGAGCCCGGCUCCCACUCCCUGUGGGAGCUGUGGCGGGGCGAGCAUCUGCACCCACGUUGCCUUGAAGGUGGGCUUGCCCUUUUCCAGGCCAUCAAAAGUCUUCCGGGAGCCAGAGACCCAGGACUGCCCAUCAGCAUCACCAGCCCAGCCCGGGCCAGUGCCUGGCCCACAGCAGGCGCUCCCCGGGCAGCUGCGGACUGACUGACUGCUGUACGCACCCAGCACGUGGUAAUACCCAGCUCAACCAGUGAGAAGUGAGCCAGCGGGUGAGCGGGAGAGAGGUGUGGGCAGGUGGCUCCCAGGAGAAUGGACACCCCCGGGCAGAUCCCCCAGCCAUGCAGGCCCACUUCGUACCCCACCUGCUCCAGCCUGAGGGCCAAACACCUCCUACGGAGGCGGGGGUGGGGUGUCUGUGAACUGCCAACCCAGGAAGGUCUGGGAAGUUCCUGCUCUUGGCCAAGGCCUGGAGUGAGGAGGGCACCUCGACUGGUCCUCUGGGGCUGAUGGCAACCAGGAGAGGGAGGGCUGGGAGCCCCAGUGGGGAGGCCUGACACCCAGGGUGGGAGAAGCCCAGGGGGCUCAGCAUACAGAGGGCCUCCAGCCUUCACAGGAGAGGGGAGUGAGCUCCCCAGCCCUGGAGGUGUGCAAGCACAGCUGAAUAGCCACAGGCGGGUACUGCAAAGUGGAUUCAAAUAUCAGAGGGGUCAGACUGGAUGGAAUUUAGAGUCUGUUCUGGCCCCAGAUCCAGGGAAUUUGGGGGAUUUCUUGCCUUAAAGUAUUAGGCAUUUUGCUUUUCCCAGGGGCAUCUUUCCCCCCCCCCCCCUUUUUUUUUUAUUUUUUUAUUGAGUUAUUGAUAGGUUACAAUCUUGUGAAAUUUCACUUGUACAUUAAUGUUUGUCAGUCAUGUUGUAGGUGCACCACUUCACCCUUUGUGCCCACCCCCCACCCCACCUUUCCCCUGGUAUCCACUAAACUGUUCUUGGUCCAUAGUUUUAAAUUCCUUAUAUGAGUGGAGUCAUACACAGAUUAUCUUUCUCUUGCUGGCUUAUUUCACUUAACAUAAUUCUCUCAAGGUCCAUCCAUGUUAUUGCAAAUGGAAUGAUUUUGUUCUGUUUUGCAGCUGAGUAGUAUUCCAUUGUAUAUAUAUAUACCACAUCUUCUUUAUCCAUUCGUCUGUUGCUGGGCACUUAGGUUGCUUCCACGUCUUGGCUAUUGUAAACAGUGCUGCAAUAAACAUUGGGGUGCACAGGACUUUUGGGAUUUCUGACUUCAGGCUCUUUGGAUAAAUACCCAGUAGUGGGAUGGCCGGAUCGUAUGGUAGUUCUAUUUUUAGUUUUUUGAGGAAUCUCCAUACUGUUUUCCAUAGUGGCUGCACCAGUUUGCAUUCCCACCAGCAGUGUAUGAGGGUUCCUUUUUCUCCGCAACCUCUCCAACAUUUGUUGCUAUUAGUUUUAGAUAUUUCUGUCAUUCUAACGGGUGUAAGGUGAUAUCUUAGUGUAGUUUUGAUUUGCAUUUCCCUGAUGAUCAGUGAUGAUGAGCAUCUUUUCAUGUGCCUAUUGGCCAUCAGUAUAUCUUCUUUGGAGAAAUGUCUGUUCAUGUCUCCGGCCCAUUUUUUGAUUGGGUUGUUUGAUGUUUUGUGAUUGAGUUGUGAGAGUUCUUUAUAUAUUAAGGAUAUUAAGCCUUUGUCAGAUAUAUGACUUGCAAAUAUUUUUUCCCAGUUAGUGGGUUGUUUUUUUGUUUCAAUCCUGUUUUCAUUUGCCUUGAAGAAGCUCUUUAAUCUGAUGAAGUCCCAUUUGUUUAUUCUUUCUAUUGUUUCCCUUCUCUGAGAAGGCAUGGUGUCCGAAAAGAUCCUUUUAAUACUGAUGUCAAAGAGUGUACUGCCUACGUUUUCUUCCAGAAGCCUUAUGGUUUCAGGUCUCACCUUUAGGUCUUUAAUCCAUUUUGAGUUUAUUUUGGUGAAUGGUGAAAAAGAAUGGUCAGUUUUCAUUCUUUUACAUGUGGCUUUCCAGUUUUCCCAGCACCAUUUGUUGAAAAGACUUUCUUUUCUCCAUUGUAUGCCCUCAGCUCCUUUGUCAAAGAUAAGCUGUCCAUAGAUGUGUGGUUUUAUUUCUGGGCUUUCAAUUUUGUUCCAUUGAUCUGUGCACCUGUUUUUGUACCAGUACCAUGCUGUUUUGAUUACUGUAGCUUUGUAGUAUGUUUUGAAGUCAGGGAUUGUGAUGCCUCCUGUUUUGUUCUUUUUUCUCAGGAUUGCUUUAGCAAUUCGGGGUCUUUUGUUGCCUCCCAGGGGCAUCUUCAUCUUCAUAGAGAACCCUUGGAAAUCUUCCAGAUGCGAAUGAAUGGACUGAUAAUGGUAGAUUGGAGGCCCAGUGACUAGCUUGUGUGUGUGUGUGAACUGCCACCUACCAGCUGUGCAACCUUGGGUGAGUCCCUCCACCUCUCUGAGCUCAGUGUGUUCAUCCACGAUGUGGAGGCUGCUGUCCCAGGCACAGCUGCAGCAAUGGCCGGUGUGUUGGGGCGGCCGGGAUAUCGAGUGCGGAUGAACUUCGGCAGCAGGAGGUGAGGACUGUUACGUCCGUGGUUUUGGUUAUGAUCCUUGCCCAGCCGGGCAAUAGGGAGCCCGUGGAGGUUAACAAACGAGGCAGGGAUGUCCGAUUAUGAAUGUCUGCAGCUUCGGGUCUGGAAUCGAGCUUCGGAACAGGCGUGGAAGCCGACCCCUCCCAGAAAUAGUGAAGGUAAGGUGGGCCUCAGAGCAGGAGGCAGCGGAGCCGGGGGCAGAUGCAGCCCCGCCACGCCCCCGUCCUGCACUGCUGAGGGGGCUGCAGGCAGGUGUGGCGAUCCCUGAGGAGUGGGGCAGGCCGCUCACCGAGCGGGGGCUGUGUGCGUGUGCACACGUGUGCAUGCCCUGUGCAUGUGUAUCUGUUGUGGGUACAUGUGUGCACGUGGUACAAGUGCAUGUGAUGCGCACAUGUGUGUGUCGAGACCCGUGCCUUCCUGUGCGCCCUUGUUUUCCGCUGUCACAAUGAGAGAUGCGCACAGGCCUGGCGGUCUCUGGCCCGGGGCCGAGGAAUUCUUUAUUUCCAUGGCCUUCCACGGUGAUUAAGUCUCCAAACUUUCCCUUAACCAUCAUUUCUUCAAAAUGAAAAACCAAAUUGCAUCUCCAAGCAGCUUGGAAAUCGAUUUCUUUCAAAAUGAAGUUUUGGAGAAGCGAUUCCAAAGAGAAAUAAGAGGAAGAAGGUGGGAGGGUGCUUGGGGUGGGGACAGAGCAGCUGCCAGGGCCUCUGAGGACCGCAGGGGGUGGGGAGGGGCCCCCACUGGGCUGGUGGCUCCUCCAGCCUCAGCCAGGACAAUCUCACCCCACCCCCAUGCCCGCUGGCCCCUCGGUGACGACCUUUCACGGGCCUGGUGUGGGGACCCAGGAAGGUGCCCAGCUCAUGCACCGGCCUGAGCCCUCUUGGGGGAAGCCAUCUCAGCAACAAGCCCAGGAAUGGCGGCCCGCCCUGUCGAGCUGGGCCUGGCCAGCGCUUUGCCAGCACUAUCUCAUUUAAUUCUCACGUCAGCCCUGGGGUGGCAUCGUCAGCCCAGUUUAGUGAUGGGAAACCGUGGCCCAGAGAGGUGAGUGUUUCGAGGAGAUGAGGGGAGGAUUCGGGGAGAACAGAAGUGAGGGGCCAGGGCUGCACCUGGGGUCGCACUGGGUCAGCGGACGACAGGUCCUGGGGGAAGGAGGAGGACGACUCGUGGACACAAACACUGAACGAUGACACAAAACACCCUCCGUGCCCCGGGACAGCCACAGCCAGUGUUCCAGGACGAAAGGAAGGACGCGAUGGCCCUUCAUGGGGAGUGAGUGAGUGUGUGUGUGAGCUCACUCGUGUGGUCGUGGUGGGUGUGGAGUCGGUGCAGCCAGCCCAGUGCGGGAGGGAGUCUGUCACUCAGUGUGUGGAGGGGGCGGUGGGCCCUGUGCCUGGUGAGUGGAGGGGUGGUGGCUGGUGCCUCUGCCAUGUGCGAGCUGCAUGUGGCUCUCAGAGCCCCUGGGGCUGCCAGGUGGGCGCGUGGAUGGGUGGGGAGCCUUGCUCAGCCCCUCGCCCUUCCCCCACUGUGCUGCAACCCCCCCCCCCCAUUUGACAGGCCUAAGGGAUCCAGAGGCCUGGGGGGCGAGGGCUAGAGGGGAUUGGGGCUGGAGGGAGGAGGGGCCGGGAGAUCAGCAGGGUCUGGAGGGGGCUGGGGGUGAGAAAGAGGGUGGGGUGCUGGAGGUUGGUGGGGAGGCGAGGCCCGCUGGGGGGCCCUGGAUUUCCCAGUGAGAUGAAAAGUGCCCGCGAGGCUCUCUCUGCCGCCUCUGCUCCCUCCCUGAUUGGCAGGGCGUUUUGAUCAUCUUCACGGCCCUGAGCUGCGGGAGGGGCCCACGGGUGAGCAGCGGUGAGGGAGGAGGAGGAGGCGGGAAGCACAGACAGCGGGCGAGAGGCAGACAGACAGAGAGCUCAGACUGCAGGCGGCGCGUGGGAGAGGCAGCCUCGGCCGCACCUGCUCCCUGCCAGGCACGGCCAGCUAGUCCUCCCAGCGGACCAAGAAGUGGUGCCCAGUUGCCCUGGGGAAACUGAGGCCCAGGGUGGGCAGGUUGUCCCUCAACCAACCAGUCUGAGCUGGGAUUACAGAGCCCAUGGUUUUGUGGGGGGAGAGAGGGGGGGAAGGGGUGCAGGGGAGGGGACGUGUGGUCUGGACCUUUAGGCUGAAGACGUGCACUGGCCUGCCAGGUCCCCAUUCCUGGGGACUCCCAGACAGAGGAUGGGGGCUGGCGGGGGGCAGGAGCCCUCAGUUCCAGGCUCUGCCCCUCGAGGCCUCGCUGUGUGUCCUGGGCGAGUCGCUGCUCUCCUGAGGGCCUCAGUCUCCACCUGUGGAAGGGAGGCGGCCCUGGACAGACCAUCGGCCCUAUUUCUUUCGGCCUUUGUGACUUGAACCCCAUGAGACCCACCUCCCCAGCAUUAACGGGGUGCUGAGUGGGUGCAGCUAAGCUCCCUGCCCAGGACUGUCCCUCAGCUGCUGUGGCACCUUGGGCAACUCUCUCAAGCUCUCUAUGCCUCAGUUUCCCCCUGCUCCAAAGGGGGCUUGAAACAGACCUGUCUGGCCAGGCCUGGCACGGAGUAGCCAGAUGAGCGCGGCCCCCCUUCCCCUCCCCACCCACCGCUCCCGCAGUUCUUGAAGCCUCUGCAGGCCCCACGGGCUCUGAUGAAAGGUUCAUUUUCCUUUCAUUGUGCAGGUGACAAAUUCUGCCGCCAAGAAUCACUUGUGAAAAAAUCAACAGUGAAGCCCAGCGGCUCCCAGGCCCGCUGGAGAAAUCUGAGUGGAUUUCUAGAGGAGCAGGGUGGAAAAAACCCAGGGGUGGCUGUGGGAUCUGGAGGCCGGGGACCAGGGCAGGACAACAGUGUGCUGGCCUGGACAGAGCUGGCACCGCAGGGGGAGGGGCCCUGCCCUUCUCAUCAUGAAGGGGCCUCGCCCAGGCCUGACCCUCCCUCUCCCCACCCCCAUAAGGAGAUGGGAGGUGGCCCUCCAGGCAGUGGGAAUGGCCUGAGUAAACUAAACUGGGACAUACGAGGAUGCUGGGGAGGCAGGCCUGGCUAGAGGGGAGGAUAGAGAACGGGGAGGGAUGCGCGAGGAAGAGAGAAGGAGGCUGGUCCUGUUCUGAAGGGCUUGAAGGGCCUGGCAGCCGGGAGCUCUGGCUCCUUUGGAGGGCAGUGAGGAGCCACAGAAGGUUUUGGAGCAGGAGGUGGACUUGAAGGAGCUCUGCUGCACUGUCCUCUCUGGGCCCCUUCAGGAGGGGCCUUCAGGGGAAGACUCAGUCAGCCUCCCAGGACCCAGGCCUGCAUCCUCUCUUGGGGUGGGGCUGGGGAGGGCACGGAGCCAUGGGGCAGAGGCAGAGAUGCCGGGGAGGCAUCACCCACCACAGAUGCAGUGCCACCUGUGUGCCACGUUACCUCGGGGCCCCCCCAGGGUGACGGAGGCCGAGAGUGCCAGCCUGGCUUGGUCUAGGGCCAUCCGACUACAGAACCACAGGAACAGCACUGGGCAGGGAACUAUCCGGGUGGGAGUUCCCCUAACGGUCUCAUCGGAGCCUCUUCCUCGUUCCCAGGGAGGGCUCUGAGCUCACCGGCCCAUUCACAGAGGAAACCGAGGUUCAGAAUUGUCAAAGCUUAGAGGUCACCAAAGAGACCAGGAUCUCUGGCUGCCGGCCCAGUGCUUGGCACCUAGUAGGUGCUUAACGAGUAGAUGAGAGUUAGGAUCAGAACCCGCUCUUUAGACUGCAGAAUCAGGGCUCUUCAGACGGCACCAAGGAGCUUUCUCUGAGCUGGCACUGCUGUCAGACGGCAUGAAAACCCCAGAAAUAGAACCAUCUGGGAGAUGCUCCACCAUCUUGGAAACAUGGCCAGGAGAGGGAAAGUGACUCGCCCGAGGCCACACUGUGGCAGAGCAGGGACCAAGACCCAGAUCUUCAGACGUCCCCUUCCCCACCCCGGCCGGGCCCAGGCUGGGCAGGAAGCGAGGGCACCACCUGGCUGGGAGGAGCCCGCCCGGGCUCCAAAGCUGGACCACAGGCCCCAGGCUGGGCAGGGAGGGAGGACAGGCGCCAUGGCAACCAGCCACAGGGGUGGGAGGACAGCAGUUGGGGGGGAGGGCAGAGCCCCCUUCAGCUCCUGGGGGGGCCCCAGCCAGAGCCAGAGUCCUCAGAGGCAGGCCCGGCCCACUCCAGGCCUCCACUCCGUCCUCUCCUCGCAGCCCUAUCAUCCACUCAGCCCCAAAAUGCCAUUUAUAUCACUGCCUCCGGCUAUCUGGGCUAUCUGUCGGAGAGGCCGGUGGGUUUCUCUCAGGCUCCUUCACCUCUCUCCCCAUGUGUCUCCAUCCUCGCCUUGCUCCCUCCCUCUCUCCAUCUAUUCUUGUUGCGUUCAGAUUUUAGCUUCAGACAGAUGCGGUGUCAAGGUCCCAGGCACUCCUGUGCCGUGUGACCUUUGUGGAGCCACAGCCAUUUGUCCAUUGCCUUGGCCGGCCCCCCCUUUUCUCAUCUGUGCGACGGGGUUGACACCUGCGGUGCCGGCCUCUCGCGGUUCACUGUGCCUGCCGAGGCCCCGAGCAUCCAGCAGGCGCUUACUCUGUGGUGGCCACCAGACGGUGAUGGGGUUUGUGAUAGAAUCAUUGGACUCCCAGCGCCUUGCCGCCCACCUGCCGCCUGCCACCCGCCACCUGCCGGCCGCUCCCAUCACUGCGGGGGAGGCCGGGUAGGCUCCCCACCCCCUGCUAUUCUCAGAGCCUUCCAGGAGGUUCCGAGCAGCUUCUCACCGGAUAUUUGGCUUUUUCUUGGAGCUUGCUCUGCCCCUCCUCUGUGAGGAUGUUCUCAGGUGGCCAGGGGUGGAGAAGGGAAGGAGGGCAGACUCUCCAGGCGCUUGCUGACAAUUAGACAGAGGAGGGGGUCCCAGUCCAGGCAGGACUCGGCCCGGGCGGUGCCUGUGUCCAGCUCCCCGGUGCUGGGCUGGGCUGAAAUGCAGCAGAAGAGGCCUGGGAGUGGGUCGUAGUCCCACCUACCGUAGCCGAGGUCAUGUGACUGUGGGGGUCUCUGAGCCUUUGUGGCCUCAGUCUCCUCUCCCGGAAAAUGGGCCUGAUGGUCCACGGCCUGCCUCCCGAGGAAGGGAAAAGCCUGCGGAGCUGCAGACGGAGAUGCAGACGAGGCGGCACUGCCUGGUGGCGGCGCUGGCUGGCAGGACCCCCAGGCUCUCUCGAGCUCCUCGCUGGGCCCUGAGUUUCUCCUGUUCUCCACCCACCCUGAGGCCCGGGCAGGCCCCAGACGUGAGGAGAGGGGCGGAUCUGGGCAGCCCCUCCACCAGCCUGGCUCAAGGCAGCCCCACAGAGCUCGUCCCCCACCCGUCCCUGUAGCAGCCCCUGGCAGCCCUGCCAGGUAGGGGUCGACCACUUUUUUGGUGGUUGUAUUUAAAAAAAAAUUGUUGUAAAAUAUACAUAACAUAAAAUUUACCAUCUUAACCAUUUUUAAGGGUACAGUUCUGUAGCACUAAGCACAUUCACAAUGUCGCACAACUGUCGCCACCAUCCAUCUCCAGAACGUUUUCAUCUUCCCAAACAGAAACUCUGUGCCUGCUCCCCAUCCCCCCGCCCCCUCUGGUAACCGCCAUCCUACUUUGUCUCUACGAAUUUGCCUCAUAUAAGUGGAAUUAAACAUCUGUCCUUUUGUGUCUGGCUUAUUUCACUUAGCAUAAUCGGAUGACCUCUUUUAACAGAUGAGUAAACUGAGGCACAGAGAGACUACGGGGCUUGCCCAGGCUGCGUGCCCUCUCUCACAUCCUUUCUGCCUCCUCUCUCCUGUUCCCCACUUCCCUGUGAGUGUCCCCGUUCGCCUGUCAUGCCCCCAUUUCACCGAGGAAGAGAGAGAGGAGGCAGGAGCCCGAGGUCCUGAGGGGCUGAAGGACUCUGAGCGUGGUGCUCAUACACUCGGGACCACCCUGCUCUGCCGGGAGUGGGGGCUGGGCCAGUCCCAGGGCUUGAUGGGGAACAGGCCAGGGACCGCCACGCCCCUUGCAGGCCCAGUGACUCUUUUCCAAGGCUGACCUGGUGACCAGACCCUGUGGGUUGCCUCAGGCUGCGCUGACAUCACCCCUUCCCGGGGCUCUCCGGGUCAGAGAGGGGACAGGCUGGCAGUUAGCAACAUGGCCCGAGGGGCCGCCCAGGGCAGAGAAGAGCCUGAUCCGCCUCCGGGUGACCCACACAGCCCCGUCCCCCUCCCUGGCCUCCCAGGCUCCGAGUGUGCGUGCUUGGAGAGGGCCAAGGUGCCUGGGAAGCUUUUAGGAAUGGGGAAAAACAUUUAUUGCCUCCCUGCGUGAGCUCGGGGACAUAAGCAAGUCAGGUGGCAAGAUUUCCUCCGGGCGCCACUCAUUUUCUUCAUCUAACUCUUAAAGCGUUUUGGGAUCCAGGGCAGUCCAUGUGUCCACCUGCAAACCCUGCUAACCACUGAGCUUUCUAUAGAUUCAUUCAUUCAUUCAUUUGUUCAGCAAGGAUUGACUGAGAAUGGCUGUGCGCAGGACAAAGGGGCCCCAGUCGCCUGGAGUCCCUGAGCUUGCCGUCAGACAGCCAAGCCCAACAUGCAUCAAAGACUCAGAUGGUGAGCAACCUCAGGCAGCGCCCAGGGCUCUGAGGGAGGAGUCAGGGCCUCGUGGGGACCAUGAAGCAAGCGGAUUAAGACUGGGAGAUGGAGGGCGGCUUCCCUGAGAGGCUGCUGAGCUGAGGGGUACGGACCAGCCAGGCAGAGAACUCCAGGAAGAGCGUCCCCGGCAGAGGAAACAGCACGUGAAAUGGCCCAGAGGCGCGAAAGAACUCGGUGAGCAUGGGGACCUGGAGGGGCUCAGGGAGCGGCAGCCGCAGUGAGUGGGGGGCUGGGGGCUGGGGCUGGACGCUCAAGACUCAGCAGAGGGGAUGGUUACACAGGGUGACUAGAGGAGUCAGAGGGGACAACAGAGGGAUUCCCCUGGGCCAGGGGACAGAGGGAGGGGGUGGUAAUACUGGAGUCCAAGGACCGUGACGGUGGACCCAGGCCGAGCAUUUCCAGUGGGAGCUGGAGCCCGGGAGGGGCGGGAGCCAGGCCCAAGGCAGACGGAGGAGAAAUGCCCGGUUUCUCCCUUCCUCCCGCCCUCCCGGCUCCCAGCGGAGCCUCCCAUUGGCUGAAUCCAGCUGGAGCCCAGGAAACACCGUGUGGCCUUGGACAAGUCUCUGGGGCCCUCUGAGCCUCAGUUUCUUCAUCUGUUAAAGGGCCCAUCACCCCGACUUUGCAGGUCUGUGUAAAGGCUGGAGUUAAAGGCAGUGGCUGUUCUUCUCCUGGGCCCUAGUGGCCCUGGCAGCCCUGAGUGUGGCCUGGACCCUGCGGGACCCUCUUCUGCUCAAAGUUUGACCUGCAGAGCCUGCUGUCUCUGCCCCUUCAGUGGUCACCCUGGCCCAGGGGUCCUGGAGACUCAGAGAUGGGCCAGACUCUGGCCUCUACGUCUUCAGCCCUGGGCGGGGCUAUGCUCUCACAAAAGGCUGCAGGGACCAGGCUCCCCUCUCUGGAGGCAGCCCGCUUCACCUGCAGCUUGGCUUUCCUUCCAGGGUGUCUGCGGAGAGACAAGCCAACAUCUGCAUCGGAAAGCAAAUAGACGCACACGUUUCCCUCCGUUUAACCCAUUAAAGGCCGGCAUUCCAUCACCUGGGUCUUGUGAUUUUUUUCCCACUUAAAUCUGUUUUAUGCGGGAGGCCACUACUAAGGCUCAGAGAGGUUAAGACACUCGUCUAGGGUCGCACAGCAGGGAUGGAGAGGUGGGCAGCGAACGCGG
ensembl:lncRNA